UGUGGCAAUAAAGUGUGUUAAAGGUAUGUUUCUGUUACUAUCAUGGAAACUGGAUGCAUGUAGCUGACAGGAUAUGAAGUCCCAACUCUUCUCAUCCAGCCACCCUGACAUCUUCUUUUCAACUUUUCACUGCACUAUCAGCCUGUUUUCUAGAGCUGUGAUGUAUGAACAUCCCCAGUUGUCCUUGAUUGACUGACAGAGGAAGAACAACCCCUUCAUGGUAUGAAAGUAAGGGCAACAUGAAUGUAUAAUGCAUUUUUUCACUCUGUUGUUGCCUUGGGUAUUCAAAUUGUGUUUGCAGGGGAAGAGGAAACCAAAUCAGGGCUGUGCAUAAACUCCCUUUGAUUGACUGUUGAUGAAUUCUUCAGAGAUCACUGGAGGUAAACUACUGUAUAAUGGAAAAGGUUUGAUAUUGACAGCUAUCCAGUAAAAUUCAUUCCUGAAUCCGGAAUUCCCUCCAGGUGGAUAAACAAGGAUUUCCACUUAGUGCGGUGCAAAUUGAAUAUAUAAAAAUCAUAACAACAUUAGCUUUCUUUUGUAGGAAUAUACUCGCUAUACUGUGUCUGUUCAGGCGCCUAUUUCUUUCCAAAUGUGGCUUGAUCUGCGCUUUACAAUGAAAUAUUCAUUGCUCUGUGGUAUUUCCACAUCUGAUUUACCCUGCAUUUUCACUGAAAUCUGAAUCUUAAUACCUGUGUCGGGAAUUUAUUGGUUUUACAUUUAAAGCACACUGUGGGGCUUAUUCCCUUGAGUGGAAUUCUAUUUUGUGAUUUAUGAAGAUAAGGGAUGAACACAAAGGAACUAAUUUCCAGCAUCUGGAACUCUUGGGAGUGACAUUUCAUUUGGGACUGAAACAGACUAAAAGCGUGCAUCCGUUGUGACUGCUCUGGUUGAAUGAUGAUGGCAGGGGAAGUGUCUGAAAAAUACAGAAGAAUAACAGUUGCUUUUUUUCAUUUAUUGUUAGAACAGAUUUGCCCAGAAAUCUCACAACACUGUCAGAAAAUACUGUAAAGUCGCUCUCCACACCUGCGCAGAGGGACAGACCAGAGUGUGACCAUGAAAAACAGCACUUUGAUAUGUUUGUUUCACGGCUAAGCAGAAGACCAUUUUAUUGUUGGCUUAGCAUAAUGUCGGCUUGAACUGAAUGAAUGAAUUGAAGGACUCACUGACAGUUUAAUUGUUCUCUGUUAAAACCAUCGGUACACACCAGUCUCAGAAACAAAGACAGAACACGACUGCCCAUUUUCACUCCAGAUGCGUCAAACACAGCUGCGUGGUCAGUUUCUCUUUAAGUUCGACGGCAUGGUUACCCCUGUUGUGAUCCACAGGUGAUAUAAUUGUCUGUGGGAUUUUAACUGAACUCUGAAGUGAACUCCGUCCCCCACAAUCCUCCAGGUUUCCCACCUAGGUGUGAACCGUGCCCAGACACCCAGCUGUGAGCUAUUAUAGGUAAGGAUGUCUGACACCCCUGAUCAGGUUAACAAAACUCCAGCUGCCUCUUUGUUUUCUCUUUCUGCUGGAUCCUCCUGGGCUCAACAGGCCCACUAAACCUCUCUCCACAGCAGUAUCGCAAGGUCCCGCCAGCUCAAAUGCCCUAUAAACGUUGACCCAGCACCCCUCUGGCAUCACUUCUUGAAGCACCUCUCCAGUGCAGUGUAUGAAGAACAAGAAAAGCCCAAGCUGGGGGUUGGAGGGGUUAUAAACAGGACUUUCCUACAGUAGACUGGGACUCAAUUCCCAUGUGUGACCAAAUUUGAAGGUUGAUGUGUUUUUUUAAGAUAUGUUACAUAAGUUAACAUUAGUUAUAUAAGUGACAUGACCAAAUGUUGAUAUUUUAACCCCAAGUAUGAUUUUUUCCAAAACUUUACCAAGUACUCUUCACACCUAAACCAAGCUAAUUUUAUUUUGAAAGUCUUACUCGAUGUUACAUGUUAUGUAUUAUCACCAUGGAGCCCCUCACUUCCAAAACUGUCACUAGAGCGAUUAGUGGAGCAUCAUGAUUCGACGCUGAAGGCCACUGACCAAGCUGCCAUACUUACCAAGGGAGUGAGAACGUGUUGAACAUGGCAGCCAUUAUUAUUUCUUCAAGGUUUGAUGCAGGCUGGACUAAACACAGUUGUUGUUUCCAUAAAUAUUCCAUAAAGAGUGCCAAGCUGCAGUGAAAUCUAAUCUGUGCCCAAAGUGAUUGUCACUUUACCCAUCAAAGAAUUGGACCCAAAUUUGUCCAGGCCCCCGAGGAUACCCCGAUAUUACAAAACCAACCAAACUGUUUAGUCUUGCAGGUCCACAGUGUCACAAUGUCUGGUUACACUUUCAAAAUAAAGGCACCAAAACUA